rnacentral:rRNA from 1 species
CCUACGGGAGGCUGCAGUGAGGAAUAUUGGUCAAUGGACGAGAGUCUGAACCAGCCAAGUAGCGUGAAGGAUGACUGCCCUAUGGGUUGUAAACUUCUUUUAUAUGGGAAUAAAAUGUUCCACGUGUGGGAUUUUGUAUGUACCAUAUGAAUAAGGAUCGGCUAACUCCGUGCCAGCAGCCGCGGUAAUACGGAGGAUCCGAGCGUUAUCCGGAUGUAUUGGGUGUAAAGGGAGCGUAGGUGGAUUGUUAAGUCAGUUGUGAAAGUUUGCGGCUCAACCGUAAAAUUGCAGUUGAAACUGGCAGGCUUGAGUACAGUAGAGGUGGGCGGAAUUCGUGGUGUAGCGGUGAAAUGCUUAGAUAUCACGAAGAACUCCGAUUGCGAAGGCAGCUCACUGGACUGCAACUGACACUGAGGCUCGAAAGUGUGGGUAUCAAACAGGAUUAGAUACCCCGGUAGUC